UGCAAGUCGAACGGUAACAGGACGCUAGGAUCCCUUCGGGGUGACUUUGUCGCUGACGAGUGGCGGACGGGUGAGUAAUACAUAGGAAUCUACCCAGUAGUGGGGGAUAACUUGGAGAAAKCCAUGCUAAUACCGCAUAUGUCCUACGGGGCAAAGCAGGGGACCCUCGGGCCUUGCGCUAUUGGAUGAGCCUAUGUCGGAUUAGUUAGUUGGUGGGGUAAUGGCCUACCAAGGCAGCGAUCCGUAGCUGGUCUGAGAGGAUGAUCAGCCACACUGGGACCGAGACACGGCCCAGACUCCUACGGGAGGCAGCAGUGGGGAAUAUUGCACAAUGGGCGCAAGCCUGAUGCAGCAAUGCCGCGUGUGUGAAGAAGGCCUGCGGGUUGUAAAGCACUUUUAUUAGGAAAGAAAAACCCGGAGCUAAUACCUCCGGCAUUGACGGUACCUAAAGAAUAAGCACCGGCUAACUCAGUGCCAGCAGCCGCGGUAAUACUGAGGGUGCGAGCGUUAAUCGGAAUUACUGGGCGUAAAGCGAGUGUAGGCGGUUACUUAAGUCGGAUGUGAAAGCCCUGGGCUCAACCUGGGAAUGGCAUUCGAUACUGGGUAACUAGAGUUUGGUAGAGGUAAGUGGAAUUCCGGGUGUAGCGGUGAAAUGCGUAGAUAUCCGGAGGAACAUCAGUGGCGAAGGCGGCUUACUGGACCAAAACUGACGCUGAGGCUCGAAAGCGUGGGGAGCAAACAGGAUUAGAUACCCUGGUAGUCCACGCCCUAAACGAUGUCAACUAGACGUUGGGUUCAUUAAUGAA
rnacentral:rRNA from 1 species